GUUUACUUCACUUCCUUCUUUAUCUGAUUAUCUAUUGCUACAUUUUUUUACGCACUACAUAUUUUACAUCUGUUAUAAAGACAUUUCUACAAUACAGAAGUCAACAAAUGAGGCAUUCAAUAUUUUCAGCCAACAUGUCCACAUUACGGUUGAUGAAAAAGAAAUCACUUUUGCACCUGAAAUUCAUUUUUGAACAAUUUCAGCAGCAGCAUUGUUGAAUGUUUUGUCUGUAUUUCUGUCAGCAAGGGUCCCUAACUGAUAAUAACUUCAACUGUUCAGCAGUUUUGGUGUAAUUAAUAAGAUUUAUUCACCUCAGAUGAGUGUACUUCAAACCAGCUAAAAAUUCUAAUUGGGACUUUGCUGUCAAGUGAGGGCAAAACAUUGAAUUGUUUUUUAUUUAUUUAUUUAAUUUUUCUCUGUAGACUCCUUCAGUUUGCUGAAAAAUCCCAAUAAAAAUAAUAAAGACAUGUCAGUGCCCUCCAGUGGCAGCGAAGGUGGUGUUUUAACAGGUAAUGCAGUAAUAUGUUGAUCACAGAUGUACAGUUCAGCUAAAUUCUUAAAACAUAGACUUAUGCAUUACAUAGUGGUUUCAUCAUCACAGAUAUUAAUGUAUUGCAGAGAUAAACCAUCUACCUCACAGGUGUGGCAUAUCAAGAUGCUGAUUAGACAGCAUGAUUAUUGCACAGGUGUGCCUUAGACUGGCCACAAUAAAAGGUGCAGUUUUACUGUAUUGGGGGCGUCCAGGGGGGAUAAGAAAACCUGUCAGUAUCUGGUGUGACCACCAUUUGUCUCACACAGUGUAACACAUCUCCUUCUCAUAGAGUUGAUCAGGUUGUUGAUCGUGGCCUGUGGGGCGUUGGUCCACUCCUCUUCAAUGGCUGUGUGAUGUUGCUGGAUAUUGGCAGGACUGGAACAGGCUGUCGUAUACGCCAAUUCAGAGCAUCCCAAACAUGCUCAAUGGGUGACAUGUCUGGUGAGUAUGCUGGCCAUGCAAGAACUGGGAUGUAUUCAGCUUCAAAGAAUUGUGUACAGAUCUUCACAACAUGGGGCAGUGUAUUAUUAUGAUGGUCAGGGAUGAAUGGCACAACAAUGGGACCCAGGAUCUUGUCACGGUAUCUCUAUUCAUUCAAAAUGCCAUCAAUAAAAUGCAACUGUGUUCGUUGUCCAUAGCAUAUGCCUGCCCAUACAAUAACCCCACCGCCACCAUGGGCCACUCAAUUCACAACAUUGACAUCAGCAAAACUCUCACCCACAUGACACUAAACACGCUUUCUGCCAUCUGCCCUGUACAGUAAAAACCGAGAUUCAUCCGUGAAGAGAACACCUCUCCACAGUGCCAGACGCCAUUGAAUGUGAGCAUUUGCCCACUCAAGUCGAUUAUGACGAGCAUGCAGAAGAGCUUCCCUGAGACGGUUUCUGUCAGUUUGUACAGAAAUUGUUUGGUUAUGCCAACCAAUUGUUGCAGCAGCUGUCUGGGUGGCUGGUCUCAGACGAUCUUGGAGGUGAAAAUACUAGAUGUGGAGGUCCUGGGCUGGUGUGGUUACAUGUGGUCUGUGGUUGUGAGGCCGGUUGGAUGCACUGUCAAAUUCUCUGAAAUGCCUUUGGAGACGACUUAUGGUGGAGAAAUAAAUAUUCAAUCCACAGGCAACAGCUCUGGUGGACAUUCCUGAAGUCAGCAUGCCAAUCGCACGCUCCCUCAAAACUUGUGACAUCUGUGGCAUUGUGCUGUGUGAUAAAACUGCUCCUUUUAGAGUGGCCAGUCUAAGGCACACCUGUGCAAUAAUCAUGCUGUCUAAUCA